AAAAAGAUAAGCUAAAAUAAGCUUUUGAGCUCAUACCUCAACAAUAAAGAUAAUCUUUUCUUUUUA
rnacentral:tRNA from 1 species